CAGUCCCAACCCAGAUUCUAUUGUAGAGUCCAAACUCAUUUAUUAGGCCCUUAUUAAUUGUAUUUUGCUGAGGUGUCCUUGUUUUUGCUGGAGAGAGAGAGCAGAAGGGAAGAAAUCGUUUCUUGAUAGGACUCGAAGUCUACCCGUCCAUUGAGGCGCUAGAAACUGCUGGAGUCCGCGUUGUGCGGGAGCGCCAUGGUGUCUACUGAUCCCGUACGCCGGCCGGCUUCCGCACGGAUCCCUCUCCCGCGCGCAGCGCGCGCUCGCCUCCUCCCGCGCGCCUGCUUCCCGCGCGCGCCUCGAUCUCCCGCCGUCGCCACCAAAAAUCAGCUGCAGCGCGCCUCCUUCAGGCCCCCGCCCCCUCCAAUCCGUCCCGCUGCUGCCCAUCUCCCAUCGAGCUCCCUUCGAUUCCAUCUUCUCCCCAAUCCACUGUGACCAAAAGAUCCCCAAAUCGGUUGGAGGAUGGUGGAAUGCUUCUAUCUGGUGACAUAGCUUCUAUCUGGUCGAUCGCAGGAUGGCACUUCUGGUGGCUGGAGUUUCUAUAUUUUUGUUUUUCUGUCAUGGACCAAAGUAUCUGUCAUGGACCAAAGUAUCUAUUAUUCUAUCUGGUGACACUAGCAGGAUGAAUCGUGGACAAUAUAUUUCCUAUUUAUAUUUCUGUCAAUUUUGGGUUGCUACUGUAUGCAUUGGGUUUGUGGUGAUAUAUAUGUGAUGCUGUUCGGCUGGUAUAUAUGUUUGUGGUGAUAUAUUACCUAUUUAUA